UGUGGGAGGGGGCUUGCUCCCGAUAGCAAUGGUUCAGUCACCUGACACUUGUCUGAUGUAUCGCCAUCGGGAGCAAGCCCCCUCCCACA
rnacentral:misc_RNA from 1 species